ACCUGCAGCAUGCUAUAAGCCUGCUACACUUGGAACAGUUUGAAGCAUUAAUGCCAGUACAAUGAAAUGCACAAUAAACAUAAAAUUUAAGUUGUUAGGCUAUUUUAUCUCAGCCCGGACGCCUCUUACUUGAAGAGAGUUCCAGUGAACAAGGUUCAGCUUAGCUGGUCAACUGACUAUGUCUGUAUAGAGAAGCAGACCUCAGCCUUACUACAACACCGUGGACAUGCUGGCCACUUAGCAUUUCAUUUAUUCUCAAAUCUUGUAAAGCUACUUUACUCAUAUUAGUUUCUCAUAUUAAUAAUUUCUUAUAAUGAUUUCAGAUUAUUUUUUGUUUGCUCUGAUUACAGACUAAAGAGCUUAAAUCAUGAAAGACUUAUGAAAAUAUUUUUUGAAACAUUCCUGGCUUUGUUUAGCUUAAUGAAUAGUGAGUGUUUUUUGUUUUUUGUUUUUUUCUCUGAAAAGGCUUCUAGCAAAUAAAUGUGGAGCAAGAACACACUUUAUAGACAGCACUUCUGAGCUGACAUUUUCAGAGGAAAGGGCUUGAUGACAGUUUGAGUGUUUGGUGGUCCGUUCUGUGCAGCUGAACAAGAACCAGCCGGUGGCUGUCUACGACGUCCUGCAGAUCCUCCGGCUCCACAUCUCCGUGCCACAGUGUGACGUCUUUGGCUACCUGAGCAUUGACAACAGGCUGGUGGUUCUUGUUGCCCCAGUGGACCACCAACCAACACUUCUGCAGGUGGAGGCCUGCAGUAAGGAGGCCGAAAAGAUCGAUUCUCUCAUCAACUACGCUAGCCCCACUCUGGUGUCCCAUGUUCCGCUGUCCGCCUUCCUCAGCUCUGAGAUCAAGACCUCGUCCAUCCACUCUGGGGGCUCUCUGCCAGCACCUGUACCCAUGAUCCUCUGCUUCUGCCUGGUUCUCAUCAUCAUGGCGGCUCCUAGACUCCAGUAGCUUUAAGUGCCGAUUCUUCCUCCCUUCCUCCUGUUUCUUUUUCCCCAAAGUGCCCUGUUUCUGAGACUGUUUGGGUUGCCAAGGAAAAGGACAAGGAGGCCAUUCUGACAAUCAAUCCCAUUGACUGCUGCGUCUUAAACAAUCAAGCUGGGGAAAAAGUUCUUAUUAUAGACUAUCUAUAAAGUAUUAUUAAUUGAUGAGUUACUCACUACUCACUGGGUUUCCCCCUCAGUGGAGGGUGUGUGUGUGUGUGUGUGUGCGGGUGUGUGUGUGUGUGAAUGCGUGUGUGUGUCCGUGUACUUGACCUUUAAGAAAUACCUAGUUUUAUAUCAACAGUGUUAUGUCAGGAACAGACUCUUUGAAAGGUGUUAAGGUUGAUGACACUUUUUGCGUGCAUGUGUGUGUGUGUGUGUGUGUCUGGUCGUGGAUCCACGACACAUAGAGGAAAAGUGACCUCAUCUGGCAGCACAUCUUUCUGACAAAUGUAUUUACAUAAACACACACCCAGUGACUGGUGGUGAUUGAAGAGGUGUGUGUCAGACCAACAAGUGUGUGAUGAAGCCUCAGUGUUGACCACAUGUACAGCGCACUUGCAUGUGACGUCUGUGUGGACCCAGUGUUUGAACCUCAGCAGUGUUAUGGACCGGGUCAGGUCCAGCAAACGGAUCCAGCCUUUAAAAUCAGACCCAAUUUCUGAUCAAACAAAAGUGCCCUAAAAUUAUGGAAUGCCUAAAGUGCCACAAAAUAUAGGGAGCAUAUACACACAAAUCAGUGACAUGCGGUGAGGUGCAAAGCUGGUGAGGCACUGACUUAAUCAUAAUCAGAUAUACAAAUGUAGACCAUCUGCUUGUUAUUGUUUACAUAAGGAAAUUUCAUGCAUGUGGACAACGCUGGAGGGCAAAAAGACUAUUAUUUUACAUGCUAUCCAUAGCCGCGCUGCUGCGGUAGAAUAAUUCCGUUAAUUCAAUGAAACUUGGAAAUAUAGGUAUUAUUCAUAUUAUGCUCCACAGCAAAGGCAAAAGCCAUUCAAGUACAACUCAAAAUCACAUCUUUCUCGCUCUCUGUAUUGGCCAGGCUAUACACACACUCAUUGCCAUAGCAACUGACAAUAACGCCCCUAAAAAAAAAUACUGAAAUAUUUCCCA